GACGAACGCUGGCGGCGUGCUUAACACAUGCAAGUCGAACGAUGAAGCUGGAGCUUGCUCCGGUGGAUUAGUGGCGAACGGGUGAGUAACACGUGAGUAAUCUGCCCUUGACUCUGGGAUAACUGCGGGAAACUGUAGCUAAUACCGGAUACGACACCUUCGGGCAUCCGAUGGGUGUGGAAAGAAUUUCGGUCAAGGAUGAACUCGCGGCCUAUCAGCUAGUUGGUGAGGUAAUGGCUCACCAAGGCGACGACGGGUAGCCGGCCUGAGAGGGUGACCGGCCACACUGGGACUGAGACACGGCCCAGACUCCUACGGGAGGCAGCAGUGGGGAAUUUUGGACAAUGGGCGAAAGCCUGAUCCAGCCAUGCCGCGUGAGUGAAGAAGGCC
rnacentral:rRNA from 1 species